GGCAAACAGCAGAGAAAGAACUGGGCGAGCAAGGGGGAUCCAGAGCUGGGGCGCCAGAGCUAGCGACAGCGGGCGGGCGAGGAGCUGGCAGAGGCGCGGGGCAAGCGGGCCGGCCGGGGCGACAAGCGGGCGAACCCCGGGGCCGCGGGGCUUGGGUGCGAGUCGGGCAGGGCGAGGGGCUGAGGGCAGGGAGCGGAGCGAGGCGUCGGCUGAGGCGGGGGUGGAUGGCCACAGGGGCGCCGGGGAGCCGAGUCGGGCUUGCGGUCUCGGACCCCCAUGGUCCCCUAACGCAGCCCCGGGGGCCGCUGCGCGCCACACUCGGUUCUCGCCGGCCCUGCGCCUUUUGGAGCCUCGGGUCUGAGGUGGGAGUGUGAUGUGAGCUGCUGGACUAGCGGCGGAGAGAAGUGCCAAAAGGAGGAGGUAUUGGGACGGGAGAAGAGAGCGAGUUAGUCAGCAGAGGUCUGCCGAGGGAGUCGAGGAGCGGGCCAGCCCGAGAGCGCCAUGAAAACUACUCUCCAGCAGGGAGAGGGGCAGGCGCGGCGCUCGGUGCCGCGGGGCUGAAGGAAAUCCGGGGCCGCGGCGGGACGGAAGGGGCCCGCGGCGAGCAGGCUGCACAGAGCAGUGGGUGAGCGAGCGCUCAGCUGUAAACACCUUCCUUGGGGGCAGACCUCAGGCUGGGCCACGUAGGGACGGGGUUUGUAGAGGGCGACCCGGGACAGUCCGGGAGAGUUCGUUUGAGCUGGGGGCUGGGCGCCAGAAGAUGACUCGAAUUUCUUUCAGACCCUCUUAUUGUGUAAACUUGGCCGCUGUUGCCUCAGGAAGGCUAGCCAGAGGGUAAUUACACAGGUGAGGCCGGGCGGGGCGGGCGGAGCUCUUGGGAAACGCAAGGGUCCGGAAGAGUUUCCAGCCCCCUGGCACCAGGUGGAAGAAUUUAUAGACCAGCAUUGAGGAG
rnacentral:lncRNA from 1 species